rnacentral:lncRNA from 1 species
UCUGCCAAUUGGAGCUGGGUCAGUAAAUUGUAAUACAAUUAAUUACAGGGUACUAGGACAUAUAUGAACAGCAGUAAAGAGCUACUGACAUUGUAAGAGGUAGGACUUUGCUCCCCACUACUUGCUACGCAGUCCUUCUACUUUCUGGUGGAGGUAGGGGGCACCAGACCUCCACUUCUACCUUACUCUAGUAAUAAUAAAUGUUGUAUUUAUUAUUUCUUUUAGUGACAGUUCAUCUUCAAGUGACUUUUUGAAUAGAAGAGAUCAUUUAUUAUUAAUAUUAUUUAUUUUUAAAUCAUGUUUAUUUUCCUGUCUCACUCAACUUUCAUCCAAAGCAAACUUCUAGGUGUUGGAUGAUCUGUAUAUGUAACAGGGCUAGGGAACUCAUUCUGAAAACGAACAUCAUCUUAACAGUGAAGAUUAAAGCUUUAAAGCCUUGAUAUCCUGAUCGAUUUGUAACUAAACAAACUAAAACUAGAAGGUAAAUAAUGCUAUUAUAACAUUUUAUUGAAUAACUUCUGCAUAUGCUUUAUUCGUCAGAUUUCAGAUGGGCACAGCCUUCUUAUACCUACAUAAUACAGUAUUGUUAGCACGUUCAUUACUGUGUUCACCUCCCCUUGUUUACUCUCUGAUGUAAAUUGUCCGACUGUUCAGCACAUAGUGUUAAGAGAAGUUUUAGCACUAUGAUGAUACAAAUUCUCACAUCUUACUCUGUUUCUCAAACUGCCUUCUUUUAUUACUCCUGCUGAACAGUUUCUAUAUUUCAGCCUCAAAUUUUGAAUCUACUUCUCACUGGUAGUCACUCUAUUAUCAGUUAACAGUAAUUUGUUUAAGAAGAACAUUACAUAUUUAUAUUUUACUGCUUCUAGACUUUCUUUUUUUUCUCUCAAUCAGACAAGUCUGUUAGUAACAGUGAUUAACAACUAGCCAAUGUUUGGUUUUAUUUUUGUUUUACUCAACGACAAUUUCAAAUAUUUGUCUAUUCUUCUGUGUCCAUAAACUUUUCUGCAGAUAGAAUCAAAGUAAUAAAAGCCUUUGCAGCAUAUUUUUUCAAUUGUAGCAAAUGGAAUAUGUAUGGGAUAUAUAUGACAAAUCUUUGCAAUGGGAGAGAAGAGUCUUUCACAGGAGCUGCUCCCUGUCAAUCUGAGCCAGACAUAUUUAGAUUGCUUUUUGGUCUCAGUGCUCUAUUAUUUAAGUAGUUGGCAAUUAAUUACAUUAUAUUUCUAUUUCGAGUCUGUUUUGGCUGUGACAGAAAUUGGCGAGUCCUUACCUCAAACCACUAACUUUCUUUAGAUCAUAUUUUCUCCCCUGUUAUUUUGAGGAGGGAAAGUCAAAGUCAUAGAGCAGUGUGGUGGGGCUAAGCUGGUGUGAAACCUCCAUAGCAUGUAGUUUCUUAGGAAAAAAUUAGUCAUUUCAUGGAUUCAAAGAAGAUUUAUUUUCAAUAUCUAUCACAGUAAAGUUAUCAAAAGAAAAAACUCGCCUGAAAUACAAACUGGUGUCCAUUACCAUGAAUAAUAUAUCACUUGUUUCUUUUGUGGUUAUUAAUGGAAGCCAAGUGCAUAAUCAUGAAAUUAGUACUAAAUCAUGAUGAGAAGCAAAAAUACCAUUUACAGUAAUAAUUGGCUCCCAUCAUGACAUAAGAACAAACUGAAAGGUACUGAACAGGAUUAUUAGCAAGAUCAUUCUAACAUUAAGGAGACACUUUGAUUGAUUGAAGAAAAGCAAUAUAAUCCUCGACAGCUUCGUUACUUAGUCGAUUACCUCAUGUAGUAAGUUCAGCCUCCUGUUACUCAGAUAGUAUUGUUUGCCCAGCACAGUACUGAGAACAGUAAAGUGAGUUAUGCUCUGAGGAUAGAAAGGUAGGAGAUCAGCAAGUUUGAUUCACAGUAAUACUUCUGUUC